UACGUAGGGACCGAGCGUUGUCCGGAAUCAUUGGGCGUAAAGAGCGUGUAGGCGGCCAUUUAAGUCCUGCGUGAAAUCCUGCGGCUCAACCGCAGGCGGUCGUGGGAAACUGGAUGGCUAGAGUGCGGGAGAGGAGAGUGGAAUUCCUGGUGUAGCGGUGGAAUACGCAGAUAUCAGGAAGAACACCCGUGGCGAAGGCGGCUCUCUGGAACGCAACUGACGCUGAGACGCGAAAGCGUGGGGAGCAAACAGG
rnacentral:rRNA from 1 species